UACGGUGGGAGCAAGCGUUGUUCGGAUUUACUGGGCGUAAAGGGCGCGUAGGCGGCCACCGCAAGUCAGUUGUGAAAUCUCUGGGCUUAACCCAGAAAGGUCAACUGAUACUGCGGGGCUAGAGUGCAGAAGGGGCAACUGGAAUUCUCGGUGUAGCGGUGAAAUGCGUAGAUAUCGAGAGGAACACCUGCGGCGAAGGCGGGUUGCUGGGCUGACACUGACGCUGAAGCGCGAAAGCUAGGGGAGCGAACGGG
rnacentral:rRNA from 1 species